ensembl:processed_transcript RIKEN cDNA 2010204K13 gene
GAGCAAUGAAUUCACCCAGGAUCCAUGGAAGGCUUGAGCAAAUGCCUACUUAGCAAAGUGCUAGGCACAGAACUAAGCAAAGCAAACCAAGGAGAGCCGAGGGAGCUUCCCUAAGGCACGACUGGCAGGUAUCCUGGAGAAACAUGAUCUUACACAGAGCACAUGGUGGCUGCUAGAGGACAAGCAGGGUCAGGAAGACAGUCACGGGGAAGAUAACAGGAAAUGAGUAAGAACCUGUGAAAGCCCUUUGACCUGAGGAGUUGCAGGAGGCUGAGAUUACCUGCUGGGAUGCUAAACUUUAAAAAGGGUUGCUUAUGUGACUGUAACUGUGGAGUUAUGCACUGGACCUGGCUGGCUUCCCUAGUGAGUACAUAUCUGAAGAUAAUGAUAUCCGGUCUUCCAGAGUCUACCAAUAGCCAAUAGUUCCCCAGGGUCCUGUAAGUACUGACAAGGGGUGUGAUUUUGCCAGCUGAAGGCAGUUUACAUUCGGAGUUCCGCGGACUCUUCAGAGGCUGUAAAAAUGCCGGAGUCACGAAAGCCUGCAAAGAGCUGUUGCUUGCCUUGCUGCUGCUGCUGCUACUGCCGUCCCUGCCCGUGCUGCAGCUGCUACUCCUGCUGCUGCUGCUGCUGCUUGUUGCUGAUUGUUGCGGUUGCUGGUUGCUGUUUACUGUUUGCUGCCGGCUGGAUUGCUGGAUUGCUGAUUGCCAGUCGGCGAAAUCCUGGCGAUGAAGAUCCAACUUGCCCCAAGAAACAAGACGACCCUAAGAAGUAGUCUAAUGAUUUCAAUACGCCCUUUCCCCCUCUGACCUUUCUCUCUUACCUUAUGCUGGGGGAUUGGAAGGGUGGCAGAAAAAAGAACCCAAUAAAGUAGCCAAAAGU